GGCGCUAAUGUCAAAAUGUGCUAUUUCCCCCCGGCUGCCGGGGGGCGCUAGUGACAAAACUGUCUAUUUCCCCCCGGCCAGUAGGGGCGUUGGUGUUUAAAUAGCUAUUGCACACCUGAAUCAGUGAACACAAUCAGGUGGAUACUACGGGAAAAUACAGUACAGUAGUUGUUACUUCAAGCAGAGUCAACACUGACCGCUGCUUCAAGUAAAAGAAAACGACCAGUAAAAAAUAAAAUUAUGUAACAAGUAGCUUGCUUGCUUGUUAUUUAAUUUUAUUUCACCUGAUAUUUUAAUUUCGAUAAAAAGCAGUACCCAGUACUAAGAUAACAACUCACAGGCUUCGCAAAGGACACAGCGCCCUUUUUGCUGCCGGGGGGAAAUAGACAAUUUUGACACUAGCGCCCACCGGCUGCCGGGGGGAAAUAGAUUUUACCUAACAAUUAUGUGUCCAUUGCAGACGAUCCAUUAGAUUUUUCAAAUUACGUAAUAAAUUGUAUGACUUAAAACAUUACAUGCUCAAGAUUGUAAACAUGACAAACAGAGUAGCUGUUUGUUUGUUUCGUAAUGACCUAAGAUAUUAUGAUAAUGAGGUUCUGGCACAUGCACACAAAAAUACAGAUUACAUACUACCGCUUUAUUGUUUCGAUCCACGCCAUUUUGCAGGAACACACCACUAUGGUUUUCCAAAAACGGGAUCAUUCCGAACAAGAUUUCUCCUGGAAAGUGUUGAAGAUUUACGAAAGAAAUUGUUAAAACAUGGAAGCAACUUGAUGAUUGUUCAUGGAAAACCAGAAGAUGUUGUUAGCAAGAUUGUGAAAAAUCUGGUAGGAUUCAAGCUUACACUACUUUUACAUGCUGAGGUAACAAAAGAAGAAACUGACAUUGAAAAAAGUCUCCAGAAAGUGUGUCAAGAAAAUAAAGCAAGCUUUGUCAACAUUUGGGGAUCAACAUUGUACCACAAAGGAGAUCUGCCUUUUCAGAUCAGUAAGGUCCCUGAUGCAUAUACAGCUUUUCGAAAAGAUGUGGAAGAUCAGCUAAAAAUCCGCCCGGAAAUUUCAAUGCCAGAAAAGUUGAAGCCAGUUCCUUCUUUUCCAUCUGAAAUUUCUUGGGGAAAUCUCCCAUCUUAUGAAAUGCUUAAUUCCUCUGAGCCACUGUUAAAUCCCUCUUCAGCUUUCCCAUUCAGUGGAGGUGAAACAGCUGCAUUGCAAAGACUGAAGUCCUAUCUCUGGGACACAAAUGCUGUUGCCCAAUAUAAAGAAACAAGAAAUGGACUGAUUGGAUCUGACUAUUCAACAAAAUUCAGCCCUUGGCUGGCUCUUGGUUGCCUCAGCGCAAGAAAAAUUCAUUGGGAACUUGAGAAGUACGAGCAGCAGAGAACUAAAAAUCAGUCAACUUAUUGGGUUCGUUUCGAGCUGCUUUGGCGGGAUUAUUUCAAAUUUGUUUCGAUGAAAUAUGGAGACCGGAUAUUUUAUCCGAAUGGGAUGAAAGGCAAACGUCAAGAAUGGAAGAAAAACAUGGAACUAUUUAAGGCGUGGCAAGCGGGGAAAACGGGAGUACCGUUUGUAGACGCUAACAUGCGUGAACUAUUAGAAACUGGUUGGAUGUCAAAUAGAGGACGACAGAAUGUGGCCUCUUUUCUAGUUAAAGAUUUACACCUGGAUUGGCGCUUGGGCGCAGAGUGGUUUGAAUCUUUGCUGCUCGAUCACGACGUCUGCAGCAACUAUGGCAAUUGGAAUUAUGUAGCGGGUAUUGGAAAUGAUCCAAGAGAAAAUCGAAAAUUCAACAUGAUCAAACAAAGCAUGGAUUAUGAUCUCGAAGGGAACUUUAUCCGUAUGUGGGUUCCCGAGUUGAGAGAAAUACCAGGAUCAAAAAUUCACUCACCCUGGAUGCUCAGCUCAGGGGCCCUCUCUGCAGCGAACGUCCGACUCGGGCAAAAUUAUCCUAAUCCUGUUGUAGUUGCACCCGAAUGGAGUCGUCAUCAAAGGGAAGGAAAGGAGAGCGGCCAUGGCGGACGAGGUCACGGAAUUCCUAAAGGAGGGAAUCAGCGAGGGAUUGAUUUUUAUUUCAAGAAUCCUGGAACCAAAAAAUAAAAAGUACGUUUUCUUGUGGAAAUACUUAUCUGAAACACAUUCGAAAUGGCGAAGCACAGCUCUUUUUGAGUUUCAUCUUCCCAGCUGAGAAUCCUGCGAAUCGUCUCUUGGAGA
rnacentral:misc_RNA from 1 species